rnacentral:rRNA from 1 species
GACGAACGCUGGCGGCGUGCUUAACACAUGCAAGUCGAACGAUGAAGGAGAGCUUGCUCUCCGGAUUAGUGGCGAACGGGUGAGUAACACGUGACUAACCUGCCCCUUUCUCUGGGAUAACGCUCCGAAAGGAGUGCUAAUACCGGAUACGAACUCUGAACACCUGUUCGGAGUUGGAAAGUUCUUAGGAAAGGGAUGGAGUCGCGGCAUAUCAGCUGGUUGGUGAGGUAACGGCUCACCAAGGCGACGACGGGUAGCCGGCCUGAGAGGGCGACCGGCCACACUGGGACUGAGACACGGCCCAGACUCCUACGGGAGGCAGCAGUGGGGAAUAUUGCACAAUGGGCGAAAGCCUGAUGCAGCGACGCCGCGUGAGGGAUGAGGGUCUUCGGAUUGUAAACCUCUUUCAGUAGGGACGAAGCGAAAGUGACGGUACCUAAAGAAGAAGCACCGGCUAACUACGUGCCAGCCGCCGCCGUAA